CUCCAAUUCUUUCCUGUAACAUGGAAGUCUUUAUCACUUUUCCUAACGGCUUCAUCACAUAUUCGGCAUUUCCAUUGCCUUGGGGCCGGCCACAAUGGAGUGCUUGUUUUCCACUCAAUUCCUAAGGCAGCCAUGUAUCGUUUAAACUCAUUCCCAUUAAAAGGUGGUCCAUUGUCAGUUUUAAUCUUUUUGGGUAUACCAUGAGUUGAAACUAUGCAGUCUAACUUCGGGAUGCAGGCUUUCGCUGAAGUUGACUUAACAAUCUCCACUUCUGGAAACUUAGAGUAGGUGUCAG